GCGGACAUAACUCAGCGGUAGAGUACGAGCUUCCCAAGCUCGGGGUCGCGGGUUCGAAUCCCGUUGUCCGCUC
rnacentral:tRNA from 1 species